ensembl:lncRNA
GAUUGGCCUGGACCCAGACCGCCGGCUAACCGGUGUCCAGCGGGCUCGGCUCGGGGUCAGCACGGCCGUGCCCUGACCCACGCGCGGUGUGGCUUCCUCGCGGUGGCGGGUGGUGUGAUGACCGAGGAGGCGGCAGAACCGCGAGGAAGGUGGAUCCGCAGUGACCGCGCCCCUGCCCGCCUGUUCCCCACGCCUCCCUCCAGCAUUCCCGGCGCCGGCCGAAGCCGGGGCUCGGAUCCCGGGCGCCCACGAGAAGAAGACGUGGGAGCCAGGCGCGGGGGGCAAGAAAGUGGGCCUCCCCGUAGGGACGUCUGAAAGCAGUGAUGGUACCGGGGCCUCGGGCGACAAACCUGAGGCCAGCGCCGAUCGGUGCAAACACUGAACAGAGGGGCGAGCUCUCCACGUUGCGUUCUCGGGCGGCGCAGGAGCCGUCGUGCACGCGGGCCGUGGCGACCGGUAGAGAUUAGUCUUCAAGGUGUCAUGGGGAAAGGAGGGGGUGACGUGAUCUCGAAUCUUUCGAAUGGCAACGUUAUAUCCAAACAACUCCAUAGUCAAACUGAGGCCCAUGAACCACGUUCACAACAAAAUUCCAGAAACGACCCAUUUCUGGGCCAGCAGAGCAGGAGGUGGAAAGAUGUCAGAGCUUCUCUGCUGGGUGACAGCUCACAGAAAGGGGAGAGCCCCGGGCUCUGAGAGGUGCUGGGGCGGUCGGUGGUGUUUUUUCUGCCUACUUGCGGAAGAUUAAGAAAGUGAGCCCGUGUGCAGAGCUCUUCAGCCAGAACUCAAGUGCCCUGAGCACACCCUGCUGCAGUCUGGGAACCAGACGUGACUUCAGGCUUCGGAGAUAAAAAUAACUUCUCUUUGCCCCCCACCUGGUAAAAUUAGAAACUUAAUUAAAACGUCAUCAAGUGCAGCCAC